rnacentral:rRNA from 1 species
CGGGACACGUGGUAUCCUGUCUGAAUAUGGGGGGACCAUCCUCCAAGGCUAAAUACUCCUGACUGACCGAUAGUGAACCAGUACCGUGAGGGAAAGGCGAAAAGAACCCCGGCGAGGGGAGUGAAAAAGAACCUGAAACCGUGUACGUACAAGCAGUGGGAGCACAGAGCAAUCUGUGUGACUGCGUACCUUUUGUAUAAUGGGUCAGCGACUUAUAUUCUGUAGCAAGGUUAACCGAAUAGGGGAGCCGAAGGGAAACCGAGUCUUAACUGGGCGUUAAGUUGCAGGGUAUAGACCCGAAACCCGGUGAUCUAGCCAUGGGCAGGUUGAAGGUUGGGUAACACUAACUGGAGGACCGAACCGACUAAUGUUGAAAAAUUAGCGGAUGACUUGUGGCUGGGGGUGAAAGGCCAAUCAAACCGGGAGAUAGCUGGUUCUCCCCGAAAGCUAUUUAGGUAGCGCCUCGUGAAUUCAUCUCCGGGGGUAGAGCACUGUUUCGGCAAGGGGGUCAUCCCGACUUACCAACCCGAUGCAAACUGCGAAUACCGGAGAAUGUUAUCACGGGAGACACACGGCGGGUGCUAACGUCCGUCGUGAAGAGGGAAACAACCCAGACCGCCAGCUAAGGUCCCAAAGUCAUGGUUAAGUGGGAAACGAUGUGGGAAGGCCCAGACAGCCAGGAUGUUGGCUUAGAAGCAGCCAUCAUUUAAAGAAAGCGUAAUAGCUCACUGGUCGAGUCGGCCUGCGCGGAAGAUGUAACGGGGCUAAACCAUGCACCGAAGCUGCGGCAGCGACACUAUGUGUUGUUGGGUAGGGGAGCGUUCUGUAAGCCUGCGAAGGUGUGCUGUGAGGCAUGCUGGAGGUA